GGGCAUUUGGCACAGUGGUAGCGCGCACGCUUCGCAUCCGCAUCCAGAUUACGCAAUUUGCGUGAGGUCCAGGGUUCAAUCCCCUGAAUGUCCA
rfam:Laetiporus sulphureus 93-53 unplaced genomic scaffold LAESTscaffold_75, whole genome shotgun sequence.